ACUGUGAACUAUUUUCAUAUUUUGCUUUGGGAUUCCCUAGUGGGUCCCAAACUUUUUAAACACAAAAUUAUUUAAUUCUGACAUGUUAUAAAAUCAAAAGUUUCAACGAUGGAUCUCUUGGUUCUCGCAUCGAUGAAGAACGCAGCAAAGCGCGAUAGGUAAUGUGAAUUGCAGACGUGAAUCAUUGAAUUUUUGAACGCAUAUUGCGCCUUUUGGUAUUCCAAAGGGCAUGCCUGUGCGAGCGUCAUUUCUCCUUAAUCUUACAAUUUUGUAGAUCUGAUGGAGCUGCUGGCAGCUCUCAAAACCAGGAUAGAGUACAUGUUAGUUUAUGUGCUUCUCCCAAUUUUGACCUCGUAUCAGGCAAGA
rnacentral:misc_RNA from 1 species